CUACUCACCAAGGUUUUACGCCCAGCCUUGCACAAACACUGAUCUACAGACUACUGACUCAUCCCAGGAACCGCCAACCCUAAUGUCAGAUGGAGUAAGGUCCCAGGUGCUCCCUCGCAGGAUGAAAACUCAGUAAACAAGUAUGAACAGCGUACAGCCGCCAUCUACAGCACUGUAGCUGAAGCUCGCUUACAACCGGAUAGAACAAAAGCAUUAUCGAAAGAAAUAAACAGGCUCAGUCCGUGUGGUAAACUGCGAAAUGACCUGAGAGAGCUUCUUCGGGCUGGAGUACCUGAGAGUCACGGAGCUGCUGGGUCUGGGAAGUGGACACACCUGGGGGUGGACAGCGACAGUGUGGUCAUAAGAGGCAGAUGGCCAGGCAUCCAAAAAUACGAGGAACGUGCCAAGGAAGUCUGAACCCCAGACAGGGUGCCGUCGAUAUCCCCUCAGACAUGGAUCCAACCCUUACCUAUUGCGAUGUAGAGGACCUGGUCACAACAACGCUGCCCAGAUAGCUGAGAUCAAUCAAAAACAAAGCAGAGGGACAGUUCCUUCUCCUUGGCGGGACUUGGCAGCGCUUUCUUCACAUGCAGGCCACGGCCUUCCUCGGAGGAUUCGGAGGGGGGUCCCAAGGAUCGAAUACUCUCGGGACUUAGUUUGCCAGA